rnacentral:tRNA from 1 species
GGCUCGGUAGUUCAGUUGGAAAAGCACUUGUCUAAGGGUCGUGAGUUCAAAUCUCACCUGAGCUG